rnacentral:rRNA from 1 species
UACGGAGGGUGCGAACGUUAAUCGGAAUCACUGGGCGUAAAGCGCGCGUAGGCGGUUCGUUAAGUGGGAUGUGAAAUCCCCGGGCUUAACCUGGGAAUUGCAUUUCAAACUGGCCGACUAGAGUACGGUAGAGGGAGGUAGAAUUUCCUGUGUAGCGGUGAAAUGCGUAGAUAUAGGAAGGAAUACCAGUGGCGAAGGCGGCCUCCUGGAUCGAUACUGACGCUGAGGCGCGAAAGCGUGGGGAGCAAACGGG